rnacentral:ncRNA from 2 species
AUAACAACAUGUUGCCAGGGUUCCUUUGCAAAAAUCAAAGGAUAAUAGGGAACCAGGCGUAAUUCUUGGACGGUCCGGCCAUUGUGAAUGGGGAGUAGCUUAGUAAAGGGCCACUAAAGGGGUGCUCAGUUGGAAGGGAAAGUUAAUACCGAAUGGUAGAGAAUUUCCAUCCCCCCGGGUGCUUCCUUGGAAAAGCGGUAAGCUGGCGAUGAGCCAUGAGUCAGGAGACCUGCCCCGGUAUGUUUGGCACG